rnacentral:rRNA from 1 species
CACGUAGGGGGCGAGCGUUGUCCGGAUUCAUUGGGCGUAAAGGGUGCGUAGGCGGCGCGGUAAGUCGGGUGUGAAAUCUCGGAGCUUAACUCCGAAACUGCAUUCGAUACUGCCGUGCUUGAGGACUGGAGAGGAGACUGGAAUUUACGGUGUAGCAGUGAAAUGCGUAGAGAUCGUAAGGAAGACCAGUGGCGAAGGCGGGUCUCUGGACAGUUCCUGACACUGAGGCACGAAGGCCAGGGGAGCAAACGGG